rnacentral:rRNA from 1 species
CAGCCGCCACGGGAAUGCGUAGGUGGCAAGCGUUGUCCGGAAUUAUUGGGCGUAAAGGGCUCGCAGGCGGUUUCUUAAGUCUGAUGUGAAAGCCCCCGGCUCAACCGGGGAGGGUCAUUGGAAACUGGGAAACUUGAGUGCAGAAGAGGAGAGUGGAAUUCCACGUGUAGGGGUGAAAUGCGUAGAGAUGUGGAGGAACACCAGUGGCGAAGGCGACUCUCUGGUCUGUAACUGACGCUGAGGAGCGAAAGCGUGGGGAGCGAACAGGAUUAGAUACCCCCGUAGUCCCUGUCUCUUAUAC